rnacentral:lncRNA from 1 species
CCCUGAGGCUCCAGCCUGAGCUCCUGGGAGGGGAUGUGGUGUAGAGACACCCUUGGCCAGGCCCCUGCCUCAGGCUGGCCUGGGGCGCCAGAGAGACCAGGCUUGUAGAAGGAACGGAGCAGGCUCACGCGGAGCCCUGUGCACGGUGAGCUCAGGGUGCAGAGGGAUCUCUGGGGCCCUGGUCACCCUCCCUGGGGAGUCCUGCUUUUCAGUGUGGCAAGAAGCGCCUUGCUGUGUGACAGCCCUCUUCCCCUCCCUGACUCUUAGUCUCCCCUGGGUCCUCUGGGGGCCCUAACAGCAGGAUGUACCUGGCCUCCUGCCCGAAGCCUCUCAGAGUGGAGGAGGACCUAGGAGGCUGGACACUGAGAUGCGAGAGGCGUCAUAGGAGGGGCGGUCCAGGGGCAGGGUGGGGAGGAGACUUCUCUUGCUCAUUCCUGGUUCAAAUGUUUCAGAUGUUGGGAUGCAGGGAAGAGGUGACUCUGGUCCCCAGAUGCAGGUCAGCUGCCAGAGGCUGGCCAGGGCUUCCCACCCACUGACCCUGGCU